rnacentral:rRNA from 1 species
GGUGAACGCUGGCGGCGUGCCUAAUACAUGCAAGUCGAGCGAACAGACGAGGAGCUUUUGCCUCUGACGUUAGCGGCGGACGGGUGAGUAACACGUGGAUAACCUACCUAUAAGACUGGGGUAACUUCGGGAAACCGGAGCUAAUACCGGAGAAUAUAUUGAACCGCAGGGUUCAAUAGUGAAAGACGGUUUUGCUGUCACUUAUAGAUGAUUCAGCGCGGCAUUAGAUAGUUGGUAAGGUAACGGCUUACCAAGGCAACGAUGCGUAGCCGACCUGAGAGGGUGAUCGGCCACAAUGGAACUGAGACACGGUCCAGACUCCUACGGGAGGCAGCGGUAGGGAAUCUUACGCAAUGGGCGAAAGCCUGACGGAGCAACGCCGCGUGAGUGAUGAAGGUCUUCUGAUCGUAAAACUCUGUUAUUAGGGAAGAACAAAUGUGUAAGUAACUAUGCACGUCUUGACGGUAACUAAUCAGAAAGCAACGGCUAACUACGUG